AAGUCGUAACAAGGUUUCCGUAGGUGAACCUGCGGAAGGAUCAUUACAGAGUUCAUGCCCUCACGGGUAGAUCUCCCACCCUUGAAUAUUAUACCUUCGUUGCUUUGGCAGGCCGUGGAAACACCACGGGCUUCGGUACGUGCGUGCCUGCCAGAGGAAACAAACUCUGUUUUUAGUGAUGUCUGAGUACUAUAUAAUAGUUAAAACUUUCAACAACGGAUCUCUUGGUUCUG
rnacentral:misc_RNA from 1 species